CUUUUCUUUUCUUCGCAUCUUAUCCUCACUAUCUGUCGCUUGAUCCCACAAGAAUUCCAAGCGAUCGUACAUAUUUAUCUGAAUUUCUAUCUUUAUAGACACAAUCGGAGGAACAGCACAUCAGCUCCUAUUUGUUUUAUUUCCAUGUUUUGUACAAUUUUGCACGUUGCGAGAAUUCUGUGCAGCUUUGCAUCUUUAAAUGUCACAUAGAGUCCAAGUUACAUGGUUACAUGACUGUAGCUCCUUUUUUCUAUGGAAUGUUCCACAAAUUAGAAUAAUGGGGUUUGGAAGAAGUUGCGACGAUCAGCACAUGUUUGGAAUUUUAGAAUCCAGGUUACAUGAUAUUUGGUGUGGCUGCUUUGCGUCGUUGAAUAUUUCACAAGCUGGAGAUGUUAGUGCGAAUUUUCAGGAAAUUGACGUAAUUAAGAGAUGUAAGAAUUGGUAGAGUAUAUCGCUCAUUAGUCUAUAGCUGGUUAUUGCUGUGGAACUUUUGACAAGUUGGGAAUAUUAAUUCCAUCAGUGUUGUUUCUAUCAAUGAGUCAUAAGAAAAUUGGAUGUGAGGUAGAACCCUUGUUUUAUGGCUGCUUCUGUUACCGCCUGAUAAGUAGUCUAAUAGAUAUUAUUCUAUGACUAUUUCUAUCGUAAUCUGACAAGAAAAUAUUAAUAAGGAAAUUAAGGCGAAACUUGAUGCUAUACGAAGAAGAACAAUGUAAAAGAAUUUUAUAUGAACGAGCGAUAUGAAAGAAACACAAACGAACAAUCUUGCUCUUCGUACCUGGUGCUCACUAAGACCAUCGUCUCUAACUAAAAUCUAGGAAUAAUUUGGUGUCUAACGAUAGAUGGUGUGUAAAAGACGCUGCAAACAUUGAGAUAACAAUCGGCAUACUUCGGAAACGUAAUAUUUACGGCCGGAGAAAGAGAGAUAUUCGCCACGGGAACGUUAGAGAAAUAUACAAUAAGAUGGGCCACGAUUUUGUAACACCGUAGUAACGGCGUGGAUUUUUAGAAAGAAACCGGAACGCAGCGAGAAUAUAUCUAUAAACGAGCCGAGAGAGCAAUGAAAGUCGAAGCCUGUAAGAAAUUUCAGAGAAACCUGAGAACUCUCUACGCGAGAUUUUAUUUCAUGGAACGUGAAAUACAGGCCUUGGAGGAGAAUGAAAACAAAUAAAUCUUUCAAAGAAGUAACUACAUAUAUUAAGAGACUAUAAUUCAGAAAAAUCUUAAGGCCAAGAAAUUCCAAUUGAAGGAAGAAAAUCCAACACACAGUCAGUAUAGGACAACAUGGAAGAACUAACUAGCCACUUGGAAAUGAAGAAAAAUGACGUUUCAAGAAAAGCUUGAUAAUUGAUGAUUAAAACCGAAGUAGCUCUCGUAUUAUUUAAAUGAUACGAAUAUAAAAUUCUACUUUGGUUCCAUUCCUUUACACCUGUUCGUAAAGAUACGAAUUUAUUUAAAAAUCCACAGUCCAUUGGGUUGGCAACUAAGUGAUUGCGGAACGACAAAAUCAAUAAUAAUAUAAAUAUAAUAUAUAAUAAUAAUAUAAUAAUAAUAAUAAUAAUAAUAUAAAUUCCAUAUAGAGAUCACAAUUUAAAUUAAUCCUGAAGAGGAGAACUUUCAAGGAGCAACAUCAAGGUAUGAACCAACCAGCUCAAACGAUAAAUUUUAAAAGAAAGCUUCCAGACAAAUAAGUGCAUACAUUAAAAGUGCAUAAUUAUAUAAAUUUUGAAGAGGAGAAAUUCCAAGGGCUGAGACAGUUGGACGAAAAGAGUCCAGCACAAUGGCUUCCUGAAUGCUGAGGUUGCGUGGGCGUAACCGCGGUGCGAUCAUAUACUCGGCGAGCUUUUUACAUAAAGCCACGUGCACGCAUAUAAGUCUUUCUAAAAAUAGAAAUUUGAGCAAGAUACUAUUAAUAGUGGAUGAGUGUGUUGCCACAGUGGAUGUGUGCGUGGUUCUCACUCGGUUUUGCUCGCUGCUCGUUACCGACCAGCUUUUCGGAAAGACCGCCCCUAACCAAAUGAAAGAAAAACGCAAUUCGAUCCUUAGCUACCACUAGCCCAUUUUCUCGCCGAAAUAAAAGUCCAACUAGCCUUUCUCCUAUAGUUUCGACCUUGUUCGUCAUUUCAUCGUACGAGACACCAAAAUUAUAAAUUUGAUCCUUUCGAUAUGAGCAUCGCGGAUGAUAAACGUAAACGUCGAAUUUUGGUAGAUUUCUCUGAUGUUCGAUCGGUGUUCCGAUGAUGUUCUAUUAGUCGAUAGUUGAAGACAAGAAUAAUAUUUGCCGAAGUCGAAAAGGUGACAGGAAAAAUAUUUUUUUUUUUUUUUGUAAAAGACUCAAGAUAUUUUUGAUAUUAUCAGAAGGAUGAAGAGUUAACGAUUUAUUCUUCGCUGGAAUUGGAUUGAUGAUUUUGCUCGAGUUUAAAUAUUUGUUAAAUAAAUAGGUAAUUAAGUAAAACUACAUGAUGGAAAAUUCGCCAUCACGAUUUUCGAAUUAGAAAUAAACCGUAGUAUUUUAUUUUAGAUAGAAAGCUGAGUCUCAAUUUUUACUUAGGCCAGUUUAUGAUCUCGCUUCUUUUUCAUUUCUUUCAAUUGGAUUUUAUCCUUUUAAGUAUUUUUUUUUUUUUAAUUUUUUAUUCUGUAGAAAGAAAAUCACGCGACUAUUUAGAUAUAUCACGGGUGAUCUCUUAUGAAACAUUUAACCCUAACGUUUUCCGUCGCUAUUUUAACGCGUGGACAAUAAAAAAUGUAUAAGUACACGUAUAUAAUUAGAACGUUGUCCGGAGACACGUGACACGUCACCGCGGAGCGUUGUCUCGCUGAUUGACAACGAAAUUCGAUUAUGCGCCUGAGAAUGGAUGUCCGUUCAAUCGCGUCAAAAAUAGCGGAAACCACAGCAAAGAGGAAAUGCUUAAAAAUUCAUCGCUACACGAAAAGUGCUCGCUUUAUAUAUAUUUAACCGAGAGGUGCAACGAUCUCGUGUAUCCAUUAUGCAACGCGACUGCAAAGAAAAUUCAUGAGAUGUUCAAUAAAAAGCUUAGAAAAAUCAACUUUAAACGAAUAACAGCGUAAUAUGCUAAUUUGUAAUUGUCCUGAAAGAAUUUUUUUCGAAAAGAUACAACCUAAAAACUUCUGCAAUAAAUUUUCAUAGUACAUUGAGUAAUGGGCGAAGUCAAAGCUAAACUGCUAUCGCUGCUCGAAGCAAAUCUCUUCAGGCGAUGAAACUCAGCUGAUAACAGAAGAGAUUUUGCACAACAUCAGAAAGGGCCCUAUUAGCAGCCAUUAAAUUGAGCCAGUGCACAUAAUGCAGAAAUUCUUGACUUGUUCCACUUGACCGUCUCUCUCCUUCGCUCCUCUUCACAGGCUGAAAUUAUUUCCGUCCCACUGCGGGUGUUACAUGAUCACGGAAGAGCUGACUUCGAGCCCAUCCCUCGAAUAUCAUCCAUUCAGUUCCCUAGUUCAUAGAAACCUGCGCCAUUUCUCUUCCAAUUUAACCUUAUUUUCUUUCGUAAUCCUAGGAAAAUUACGAAACAAAAUUUUCUACAUUACCCCAUCGUUAUAUAAAUCUAGAAAAAUGCUGAUCUUUGGCUACGUUUAACUUGAUUUGACUGUGUUUAAACUAAACUUGGUAUAUCAAUUGGGACAUAAGCUUCCCCUUAAACCUAACCUUAAUUCUUUAAUAGGCCCGUAAGAAACCUACCACAAAAUACUCCAUUAUCGUACCAACCUCUGAA